UACGGAGGGAGCAAGCGUUGUUCGGAUUUACUGGGCGUAAAGGGUACGUAGGCGGCAUAGUAAGUGGGAUGUGAAAUCUCCGGGCUCAACCUGGAAACUGCAUUCCAUACUGCUAAGCUAGAAUAUCGGAGAGGCAAAUGGAAUUCUCGGUGUAAGGGUGAAAUCUGCAGAUAUCGAGAAGAACACCAAUGGCGAAGGCAAUUUGCUGGACGAAUAUUGACGCUGAGGUACGAAAGCUAGGGUAGCGAACGGG
rnacentral:rRNA from 1 species